rnacentral:rRNA from 1 species
GAUGAACGCUGGCGGCGUGCCUAAUACAUGCAAGUCGAGCGAACAGACGAGGAGCUUGCUCCUCUGACGUUAGCGGCGGACGGGUGAGUAACACGUGGAUAACCUACCUAUAAGACUGGGAUAACUUCGGGAAACCGGAGCUAAUACCGGAUAAUAUAUUGAACCGCAUGGUUCAAUAGUGAAAGACGGUUUUGCUGUCACUUAUAGAUGGAUCCGCGCCGCAUUAGCUAGUUGGUAAGGUAACGGCUUACCAAGGCGACGAUGCGUAGCCGACCUGAGAGGGUGAUAGGCCACACUGGAACUGAGACACGGUCCAGACUCCUACGGGAGGCAGCAGUAGGGAAUCUUCCGCAAUGGGCGAAAGCUUGACGGAGCAACGCCGCGUGAGUGAUAAAGGUCUUCGGAUCGUAAAACUCUGUUAUUAGGGAAGAACAAAUGUGUAAGUAACUAUGCACGUCGUGACGGUACCUAAUCAGAAAGCCACGGCUAACUACGUG